UACGAAGGGGGCUAGCGUUGUUCGGAAUUACUGGGCGUAAAGCGCGUGUAGGCUGACUAGUCAGUCAGGGGUGAAAUCCCGGGGCUCAACCCCGGAACUGCCUUUGAUACUGCUAGUCUUGAGACCGGUAGAGGUGAGUGGAAUUCCGAGUGUAGAGGUGAAAUUCGUAGAUAUUCGGAGGAACACCAGUGGCGAAGGCGGCUCACUGGACCGGUACUGACGCUGAGACGCGAAAGUGUGGGGAGCAAAC
rnacentral:rRNA from 1 species